CAGAGUCAUAGACUGUUUUCCUAGACUGCCUUUUCACCUCCUGUGCCAACUUCUUUCCGCACUGAACGGUGUUGAUAAUACUUCUCAGCAUCUUGUCAGUUCCCCUUUAUCUUCAGCAGAGCUCUUGGACAGAGGAAAAACUGGUCACAGCAGAAUCCCUGAUUUUAUUACUGAAAAAUAAAAAUCUUGAAGAUGUCUUAUACACAUGUACCAACUCCUCACAAUGAAGAUUGAGAUUAAGUGACUUCAGAUUGAUCCUGGAGGAAAGCCGAGCUUGAAAGUGAGAACAGCAGCUUAAGCACAUCCAGGCUACAAAACUUUAAGAUCAGUGGACUACUUGAUUUUUUCAAAUACUUGGGUUUUGAGCUGAAGAACAGCAUGAACUGACCUACUACCCUAGCUGCGCCGCUGAAAACAAAUGGCAAGACAGUGAAGAUGGAAUCUGAGAGAUGUGCUGAGAGACAUAAUGAC
ensembl:lncRNA